rfam:Chlamydomonas reinhardtii strain CC-503 cw92 mt+ CHLREscaffold_23 genomic scaffold, whole genome shotgun sequence.
AAAUCGGUGUUUUUCAACACCACCCUAAAUGGCAUCCUGGUUUUG